UAUACAUACAUGCAUAAUGUAUAUGCAUAUAUGUGUGUGCACUGUGUCUGUAUAAUUGUAUGUAAGUUCUGUAACAACAUGCCUGCUCUGAUGGUAUAAUUGUAUGUGCACAUCUAUCCAAUAUGUAACUAAAUACAUACAUACAUAAAAUAUUAGUUGAAAUACAAUAUGGUUUGAUAUGUUUGAACAUAAUUGAGAAUCUAAAUUUUAACUUAGAAAAGAUUACUCAAAAUGAAUUAGAAAACAUUUACCUUGAGAAAUAUGGAUUAUAGUUCCAUUUGACUUUUGAAGUGUUAUCCUUAGGAUAAUAUUUUUGUAGGAUCAUUAAGUAAUAGUUAUAGCUUCAUUCUUACACUCAGCAAAGGCUUUAGCCAUUAAGUUCCAUUAUUUCAAAACCAUUUGGUCACAUAAUGCAAAUAACAAGUUCAUCAUAAAUUGAACAUACAAAAUAUAAUUACCCCAUUCAACAAUUAGUGCCGAUGUUUCCAUUCAUCACUAAUGAUAAUUUAGGAAGCAUUCUAUCUGCAGGAGAAUGGACAACAAAGAAAUUUCGCUGUCCUUUUUUCAUUGUUGCUUUGAGAUCCCUGAUUAAAGCUCUCAUUAAUGUGGACAUUAAAGACUUUAUUUGACACUCUAACAGCAAUGUGCAAAGACAGGGAAUGCCAGGUGGGUCAAAGGAAGUUCUUGCAUUUCCCAACCAACCAAAUCACAUACCCACAUACUUGGAAAUGUGCCCACCUUACUUUUGUGCCUGCCCUUACCUGCGUAUAGACAACAAUCCACAGUGAUGUAUUUUCAAGUUCCAUCUAUGAUGUCAGAAUUGACAGAACACCAAGUGUUACAUGACUUUGAGAUGUGCAGUUAUGUUUGAGAACCAUAUUGUUUGCCUUCACUCCACUCACUCUUUCCUUCCAUCUGUUCGUUACGGUGGGUACAGCUGCACUUUAGAAACAAAGCCACAAAUGAACAACCAUAGACUUGCCACGAUUUUCUCAUCCUGGGUAUAUUAUUUUCUUUGGAUCAUAAAAACAUUAGUAAAAUUCAGAGGGUCAGGAAAUUGAAGAGAAAUAUAUAGUAGUAGGGGAUGGGGAACUGGGGAUAGCCACUAGAAAGUCCCUGACACAAUGGGAAUGACUUCAGCAGAAAUACAUAACAAAGAGGAGAUAGAACCUAUAGAGACCACCUCUAGUAGUCAUGGGCCCUAGUUGAGUGCUGGGGCCACCUACGUAUCUCAAAAGUGCUAACCUAGAAAGGUCCCUGUCCAAAGGCAGGACAAAAGUUGAAUCAGAAACAGAAGGAAAGGGCAUGCAGAGACUGCCCCAACUAGGGAGUCAUCCCAUCUGCAGACGACAAACCCUGACACUAUUGCUGAUGCCAAGAAGCACUUGCAGACAGGAGCUUGGUAAGGCUCUUCCCUGAGAGGUUCUACCAGCACCUGACCAAUACAGAUGCAGAGACUCACAGCCAAUCAUCACCCUGUUCCCCAGGGACUACAGGAGGGACUAAAAGAGCUGAAGGAGAUUGCAACCCUAUAGGAAGAGCUAUAUAGUAACAAAUGACUGGACCACCGAGAGCUCCCAGAGACUAAAGCACCAAUCAAAGAGAAUAUACACAUGGAGUGAUCCAUGGCUCCAGAUCCCUAUGGAGGCUUGAUGCCCCAACUUAGGAGGAUGCUAGUGUGAAAAAAAAAGAACAACUUCCACUGGUUUCCAGAAAGCUGAACCUAAGAACACCUCGGACAGUUGAAGUAUCUGAGGUAUAAUUGGCCUCAUUUAUGGUAUAGUAAUUAUAUUUACUGGCUAUAGAGCUAAUUUCAAAACACCAUAACCAUUAAUGUUCCUAGUUUUAGGCUUUUUUGCAUAGGAAAUAUUUGCAUAUCAUAACGAAAUAUCAUUGUAAUAAACUAUCAGCUUUAAUAAAGAACCUCAGUAUAUUGACCUGAUAAUUUUAUG